rnacentral:SRP_RNA from 1 species
UCAUGCUAGGCGGGGAGCCAGCGGUGCCCUGUACUCGCAAUCCGCUCUAGCGAGGCUGAAUUCCCUCUUGAGGGCUGUGGUCCGAAUGACGCGAGGCGCUCAAACGAUGUUGAUGUUCGGGUCCCGUGCGACGAAGGCGUCUGAAUCUCGCCAGGUCCGGAAGGAAGCAACGAUAAGGAAUGUCCUUCGGGCGCCGCGGGAGCGCCUGGGCUGAGUCGCGUGGUCGUUUCGCCCAUACGGUAUCCAGUUCGAGAGGGGGUGCAUGG